GGUCCCGUGGUCAAGAGGUUAAGACACCGCCCUUUCACGGCGGUAUCAGGGGUUCGAUUCCCCUCGGGACUACCA
rnacentral:tRNA from 1 species